AGAUUAUAAAGUCAGCUCCUGAUUGUGAUCGAGGAGAGCAGCCUUUGCAUGGCUUUGAUCGGCCCACCGGUGAUCGAGGCGCAAACAGUCGCCUGUGCUGCAGCGGAAACGACGGGCUUCUGGAUUCGCGUGAAAAACGCCAAUCGGGUGUUUGUCGAAGCCUCGUUGUUGGAUUCAAGCCCUGACCCCGGCGAGCGGCGCUCUCGCCGGGCCGCAGCCUAUCGCUCCACCUCGGCCGUUCAGCUGCGAGGAUGUCAUCUUUCUUUUUUUAUCGCCCGCACUCCCUCCUCCCUCCCUGUCUCUUUCUUCCUUUUCUUUUUUAAUUCCUCUUUCUUCUCCCCCUCCUCUCCUUUUCUCGCACCGCUAUGUCCCACUUGCUCUUAAAGGGAUAGGGUUUCCUCUUUAGACACCCCCCUCUCAUUUCCGUCUCCCUCGGCGGAGCCUGUCCUCGCCCCUUCCUUCCUGGAGUUUUUUCGGCCGACGCAAAAUGGUCCUACGGUGUUUCCCCCGCCUUCCUCGGGCCAGCUGGAACAGAUCUCCUGCACCGCAGAAAACAGCCGGAAUGACUUUCCAUUAACAGCACAGAUGACAGACGCACCUUAAAGGGAGGUGCGCACAGAUCCUCCCAGUCGGCCUACAACAAUGAUGUCAGAGUCACACACACAGGACGAAAAGCAGCUCAGGAUACACACACACACACACCAUAGAUGCGAGUCAGCAUUGCAUAAAUACAGAUAAAUUGUGUUUAGGGAAAAGUAAGUAGUGAGAAUCUAUAAUGGUAACCUUGAGCUGAAAUGAUUAUUCGAUUAGUCAACACAAACGAAAUGAUAAUUAGUUACUUAAAUUUGACUAAUUGUGAUUAUUAGUUUAUUUUUCUAUGAUUGCAACAUGAUUAUCCAGUUUUGACCCGUUAGUCAAAAAUAAGACAUUUUAAUAUGUCAACAUGCACUUCUCCACCCCCACACAGACACUAUUUCCUGAAAUUUCUAUGGACCAAAUGUUUAAUCGAUUAACCAAGAAAAUAAUUGGGAAUAUUGAUCGAUAAUUAAAAUAAUCUAAGGCUGCAACUAACAGUUAUUUUUGUUAUCAAUAAAUCUGCCGAUUAUUUUCUCUAUGAAUCGCUUGGCUCAUGAAAAAUGUCCAAAGUUGACAUAUUAAACGUCUUGUUUUGUCUGAACGGUCAAAACAACGUGUCUUAAUAUCAGAAGACAAAGAUAACCAGCACGUCCACAUUUAAGAAACUGGAACAGAUAUUUCUUGACAUUUUAAUUGAUUGAAAACAACUUAAAUGAUUAAUCGAUUGUCAUAUUAGUUGGCGAUUCAUUUUCUGAUGAUCAACCAAUCGAUUAACUAAUUGGUUCAGUUCUAAAAAUAAUGUAUGUCAUCUGAGUAAAGUACAUCAAAUCAAGACGAA